CUCUGGCUAGAGUUCGCCGUCUGACCAAACGGUCAAGGACCUUAGUCUGGGAGGUAACCAAGAACCCAAUGACGACUGACAGAACUACAGAUCUCCUUGGCUGAGAUGGAAGAACCUGCCACGACAACAGUCUCCACAGCACUUCCCCAAUCUGGGCUUUAUGGGAGUAACCCGACAGAAGCCAGUCCCGAGAAAAAUGCACGACUGGAGAUUGCAAAAAGGCAUGUGAAGAGAGAUCAUAAACCCGACAGAAGACUUUGUGGUCUGAAGAGACAAAAAUUGGCCUGAAUGCAAAGCGUCAUGUCUGGAGAAAACCAGGCAGAGCUCAUUACCCGACUCACACCAUCAAUACCGUGAAGGAUGGUGGGGGCAGCAUCAUGCAAUGGGGGACACUUUUCAGCGGCAGGACCUGGGAGCAAUGUUCCCUCAAAAAGAUUUCAGCACUGAGCAAAUUUCAGGCAGAUAUUUUUUCUGUGUGGCAGUCCCGGGGGAGGGAACAUCAACUGGAAAGGAUAGAGGGAACAAUUAAUGGAGCCAAAUACAGGCAAAUCGCCGAUGAGAACCUGCUUCAGAGUGCAAACAACUUUUAACUGUGGCGAAGAUUUGUUCCAACAGGACAAUGACCCUAAGCAUAUAGCCAAAGCAACUCUGGAAUGGUUUCAGAACAAGAAUGUUAUUGAGUGGCCCAGCCAAAGCCCAGACUUGAAUCCCAUUGAAAAUCUGUUGAAUGACUUGAAGAUUGCGGUUCACCGCCGCUCCCCAUCUAACUUAAGCGCUUGAGAAAAUCUGCAAGGAAUGGGCAAAAGACAAACCCAAGACAACUCAGCUGUAAUUGAUGCCAAAGGUGUUUCUACAAAGUAGAGACUCAGGGGUGUGAACACUUAUGUAAAUUGGAUUUCUGUAUUUCAAUGAAUUAGCUUUAUUUUUCAUAUUUAAAAAAGAAAAUGUGCAUAAACAUUAUAGGGUAUUGUGUGUAGAUGGUUGAGAGAAAAAGCGUAUUCAAUUUUGAAUUCAGGCUGUAACAUAAUGUGGAAUAAGUCAAGGGGUAUGAAUACUUCAUGAAGGCAAUAUAUAAUUGCAAUUUCUAUACAAGGACUUCUAUUUCCAAAACUAAAACUUUCAACAAAUGAAUGGUUCAUUAGAUUAGAUUUUAAAAAACAAUCAUAUUACAUAACUGCUGUGAUAUACAAGCAGUUAAAACAGGAUUAUUGUCUUAUGCAGCACUCAAACCCCAUUAUCAAUUUGAGACAAGAAAAUGACUAGUGAUAUUUCAAAUGUAGCUAUAAUCUAAACAAAUUCAUACUACACCCCAUUUCUAGUAGCAAUGUACUUAAACUCUUCAGGAGAAAAAAAUAUAUUCAAAUUUGGAUGGCAAAUGAAAGUUCAUACAGCAACAACAAAACAAAAAAUAUGCAUGAAGUAACAAAAGAUGACAUGGCACAACAAAAAAAUGAAUAAAGUGGAUGUAACAAUGGCACAAUAAAAUGAUGUAUCCCUCUGCACUGGGAGAAGCUUCAGAGGGCAGGAGGUCCCGUUUGUGUUUCAACAAUCCCACUUUACUCACUGUCUGGGACUAUUUAGUUCAUUGAGUAGACACUCAUAUCGGGGACAAGCCCAAUUCAACCCAGAACUGUGGCCAUUUUGAAAGUCCAAAAAGGGCAUUCAUUAGUGCUCAUUUUAUUUUUUUUAAAUGGAUGAAAAUGCUGUUAUCUUGACCAAUAAAUCAAAUCAACCAGA